UCUAGCAAAGAUUGAAGGGCGCAGACAAACACUGGGAAACAGCAUGAGCCUCUGCUGUAAAGACGAUAGUUUUGGCCCAUGGUUGGACACCCCAACAGAAGGAUCAAAUUCAAAUACAUGAAUUUUAAAAGGACUGAAGAUUAAAAGAAAAAAUACCUUUGUGUAAAUCAUCUUGAAUGCAUGGAUAAUUCCCAUGUACCUGUGUUCCCCUUUGACUUGGAACGCCAGACGAACUCUAACCAUAUCAAGAGGGAAUUUGUCUGAACAAAGACUAGCAAACAGACCAACCAGGAGCUUGGUGAACGCACUACUUCAUGAAUACAGUCCAAAAAUAGUACAAUUUUAAAGAAAUCAGAUGCAACUGAAAGAAACCACAUGAGUUACAAGAAGUCAGACCACAGCAUCUUCAGGCUGAUUCCCUGCCCAAAAGCAAAGUCUACUCCAAUUAAUGAUAGUUGAGCCAAAAAUCUCUCCCACAGUUGGUUAAACACAACAGAAUUGGAAGUAUCUCAACAAUUAAGAGGUGGAUCCUGAAAUUCCCAGUGUCUGAUCCGAAAUAACCAUAACAGGGUAACGUAGCUCUCCCUCCCUCAGUGAACCACUUCCUCCAAAGAGUAGACUUUUCCACUGCAGCUGCUGACUCAGAAGCCCAGGUAGCCAGGGAAAGACUGUUCUUCUCUUUCCAUGUUGCCCUCAAGCCCCUUUGACCGCUCUUGGGGACAAGACACUGGGUUACACAGACUAAAGACAGUGACAGUGAAGCACAACAGGAAUUAGACUGGCCUUGAUUUGCUUCCCAGACUCUGGGAGUUAACAAUGAGAUUAGCUCUGUCUCCUAAUUUGCUUGCUAUUCCUCCAUUCUCAGUCAUUUUCUUUCUUUGAAAAA